rnacentral:sRNA from 1 species
GGACAAGGAAACCAACGCCGCCCUGCGA